CCUACGGGGGGCUGCAGUGGGGAAUAUUGGACAAUGGGGGCAACCCUGAUCCAGCCAUGCCGCGUGUGUGAAGAAGGCCCUCGGGUUGUAAAGCACUUUCAGUGAGGAAGAACGCCUGGUGGUUAAUACCCAUCAGGAAAGACAUCACUCACAGAAGAAGCACCGGCUAACUCCGUGCCAGCAGCCGCGGUAAUACGGAGGGUGCGAGAGUUAAUCGGAAUUACUGGGCGUAAAGCGCGCGUAGGUGGCUUGAUAAGCCGGUUGUGAAAGCCCCGGGCUCAACCUGGGAACGGCAUCCGGAACUGUCAAGCUAGAGGGCAGGAGAGGAAGGUAGAAUUCCCGGUGUAGCGGUGAAAUUCGUAGAGAUCGGGAGGAAUACCAGUGGCGAAGGCGGCCUUCUGGACUGACACUGACACUGAGGUGCGAAAGCGUGGGGAGCAAACAGGAUUAGAUACCCGAGUAGUC
rnacentral:rRNA from 1 species